UGGGCAGGCCGGGUGACCGCGAGCGCAGCGCCGUGCCCGACGUACGUCCGGGCAGGGCGCUGCGCUCGAGGAAAGUCCGGACACCGCAGGGCAGGACGCUGGGGAAACCCCAGGCGGCGAAAGCCGACGGAAAGUGGAACAGAAAGGAGACCACCCGGCGCCGAUGCUCUCCGAGGAGAGCGGGCGCGUCGGGCAAGGGUGAAACGGUGGGGUAAGAGCCCACCAGCGCCGUGGUGACACGGCGGCUCGCCAAACCCCGUCCGGUGCAAGGCGAAGCAGGUCCCGCUGACGCGGCCCGCCGAGGGACCGGGUACGCCGCUCGAGCCGUCGGGCAACCGCCGGCCUAGAGGGAUGGUCGCCCACGACAGAAUCCGGCUUACAGGCCUGCUACAGGAA
rnacentral:RNase_P_RNA from 1 species